UGGCACAAAUGUGAUAGAAACCAUUGUGAAGAACUGAAAGAAAUGAGCCUUUCAUUUUGACAAGGAAAUAAAAAGAUAAAUGAACAUUUGUAUCGCUCUGUGUGUGUGUGUGUGUGUGUGUGUGUGUGUGUGUGUGUCGCCCUGUUUCAUUAGCUCACUGUUCCAUUUCAGCUAU